rnacentral:rRNA from 1 species
AUUGAACGCUGGCGGCAUGCCUUACACAUGCAAGUCGAACGGUAACAGGUCUUCGGAUGCUGACGAGUGGCGAACGGGUGAGUAAUACAUCGGAACGUGCCUAGUAGUGGGGGAUAACUACUCGAAAGAGUGGCUAAUACCGCAUGAGAUCUACGGAUGAAAGCAGGGGAUCGCAAUACCUUGUGCUACUAGAGCGGCCGAUGGCAGAUUAGAGAGUUGGUGGGAUAAAAGCUUACCAAGCCGACGAUCUGUAGCUGGUCUGAGAGGACGAUCAGCCGCACUGGGACUGAGACACGGCCCAGACUCCUACGGGAGGCAGCAGUGGGGAAUUUUGGACAAUGGGCGAAAGCCUGAUCCAGCAAUGCCGCGUGCAGGAUGAAGGCCUUCGGGUUGUAAACUGCUUUUGUACGGAACGAAAAGCCCCGGGUUAAUACCCUGGGGUCAUGACGGUACCGUAAGAAUAAGCACCGGCUAACUACGUGCCAGCCGCCGCCGUAA